GGACAGUUAGUAAAUAUUUUAGGCUUUGCAGGCCAUAUGGUCUCUCACAACCAUUCAACCCUGAUGCUGUAGUGCAAAAGCAGCCGAUGAUAUGUAAAUGAGUGAGUGUGGCUGUGUGCCAAUAAAACUUCAGAAGAGUACGUGGUAGAUGGCAUUUGGUCUAUGGCCUUGGUUUGCCAACCCCUACUCUAGAAAAAUUUCCAGGAGUGCAUGAAGUAGGCAUUAGAAAAAUUUAAUUGCAACAUGGUCAGUAAUAAAAUUUUAGAAGUAAUCUCAAUUUACAUUAGAGAAAGAAUGGUUAAAUAAGUUGUGGUACUUUCACAACUUGGAAUACUAAGCAGCAGAUAAAAAGAAUGAAUUUAGAUCCACGUAACAUCACUUGUCCAGUAGAAAUAUAACACAAGCCAGCCACAUGUGUAGUUUUACACUUCCCAGGAGCCACAUUAAAAACCAUCAAGAGAAACAGAUGAAAUUAAUGAUAUGUUCGAGCUCUAUACACUGAAGAUAUUAUCACUUUAACAUGUAAUUAGCAUAAAAAUUACUGAGAUAUUUUACAUUCUUUUUUUUGCAAUCUGAUGUGUAUUUUACACUAAAGAGCACAUCUCAGUUUGGGCUAACUACGCUUUCAAAUGUUCAGUGGCUGCAUGUGGCGGUGGCCACUGUAUUGGACAGCAUAGAUCUGUACUGAAAAUCUGCUGAUGUGGAGAGGCCAUUGACGCAUUUGGUCCAGUGAAAAAAGGAAGUCACAGGGCAGUAAGUACAGUGUGGACCACUUAAGUAAGGGGGAAGAAAACACAGGAACAUAUUGAAGAAGAAGGUAUGUAUGCAUGUGUACCUGAUGUAGAGAGAGGCUUUGGGUGGCAUGGUGGAGGAGGGACACACUCUCUGCUUACCUGAAUUUUUUAAAAUAGAUUUUUUAUUUGGGGAUAGUUUCAGACUUGCAGAAAAGUUACAAAGACAAUACGGAGAGCUCCUAUCUGCCCCUCACCCCGUUUCCCCUGUUGUUAACGUUGUACUGUAGUGUGGCACGUGUGUCAAAAUGAAAACGUCACCCUUGCUACGUUACUGUUAACUCCAGGCUUCGUUCAGCCUUCAUCAGUUUUUCCACUAAUGCCCUUUUUCUGUUCUAGAAUUCAGUCGGUGAUUGAACUGCAUUUAGUCAUGCCUCCCUAGACUUCUCUGCUCUCUGCCCGAUUCCCCGGUCUUUCCUUGUUUCCUAUGACCUUGACAGUCUUGAGCAGGGCUGGCCAGGUAUUUUGUAGAAUGCUCCUAAGUUCAGGUUUGUCUGAAGAAGUCCUCUUGACUGAGCUGGGGUCAUGGGUUUUGAGGAAGAAUAUCCCAGAGGUGAGCUCCCCUUCCUGUCACAGCACACCUAGGGGUACAGGAUAGCCAGGUAAGUUAUCACUGGGAGUGUUAACCUCCAUGGCUUGGGUAGGGUAGUGCUUCUCCAAAUGUUACUCUUUUUCACUUUCCAUACUCUAUUCUUUGGGGGAAGUCACCAGACCCUACUCAAAGGUGGUAGUAAUCAAACUCCACCUCCUGGGUAGAGUAUCUACAUAAAUUUUUUGGAAUUCUUCCCUAAGGAAGAUUUGUCCAUUCUUUAUCUCUCUCUCUCUCUCUCUCUUUCUUGCUCUACCUACCUACCUACCUACCUAUCAGUAUGGACUCACAUGUAUUUAUUUUAUACUUUGGGUUGUAAUCCAAUCAAAUUUUUUUCACAGUGAAUAUAAAUUCAUGUACUGUAAUGUUUUUAAUGCAGAAAACAUACAAACAAUCAUGCUGUAUGAGACACAAAUUCUGUGAUUGGCAAGACUUUUCCCUCCACAGCUCUUCAUGACUGCCUUUGAGUAGGAUAAUCAUUGGCUCAUUGCUAUUCAACUAGCAACUUUAGACAAGCUAUUUCAACCCUCCAGGACUCCAUCCCCACAUCCGAAUAACAAAGUGUAUCAUAAAAUGGUCUCAAGGUGCAGAAGGGGAUGAUGUUUGUAUGUACAGCUUUUUCUCCAGUGGUUGAUAUCUACCCCGAGGCCUGUCAUCCAGGGCCUCAUUCUACGGACGUCUGCUGACCUCUCCGGCCUCAUGCUUGUGCCUCUAUCUCUACUAUGGCCACACAGACCCUGCUCCACACUGGCCUCUAGAGUGACCCUCUAGGCACUCGAAUCCAACCUUAGCACAGCUGGCAGGAAGCCUGGUACUGGUACGCAUUGGCCUGAUGAAGCCCAAAUGCCUUAUGAUGAUGAAGAUGAAAAUGUGAUCAUGGACGCUGCUCUGUAACUCUCAAAGUCUCCCAGCUGCCCUGUAAAGCCCAGGCAUAUCAUUGUCAUUCAUCAAGUGACAAUUUGAUGGCUCAGAGAGGUUCAGUGAUUUGCCCAAGGUUGCUCAGCCAGCGAGCCACAAAGAUAGGUACGAAGCCCAGGGCCGUGGACUGGUUGUUUGACAGGCAUCCAAAGUGCUUCCUGAGCUGGCCAGCCUUCCAGCGAAGCUGUGGUGCUCCUCCAGCUGCUCAUGUGUCAGCCUCACCUGACUCAGCAAGAAGCCAAGUCAAAGGCAGGAGUCUGUCGGCCCCAUGAAACUCCUAUUUUCUGGCUAAGAAGCAUCACUUGCUUUAGCCUCUUCCUCUUAAGCUCCAUUAAGGAGCAUUUGGGGUUUUUUUUGGGGGGGGUAGUCAUUUUCCACAAAGAAACAGAGUUCUUAAAAACUGAUAUAUAAUAAUAUGUAUAAUAACAACAUCAGCUAACAUUUGCAGAGUAUUAUGUCAA